AGGACUAACGCUGGCGGCGUGCCUAACACAUGCAAGUCGAACGAAGUAGCAAUACUUAGUGGCAGACGGGUGAGUAACACGUAGUCAACCUGCCCUUCAAUGGGGGAUAACUAGCCGAAAGGUUAGCUAAUACCGCAUACGAUCUCUGAGUGGCAUCACUCGGCGAUGAAAGGAGUAAUCCGUUGAAGGAGGGGACUGCGUCCCAUUAGUUAGUUGGUGGGGUAAUGGCCUACCAAGACUCCGAUGGGUAGCUGGCUUGAGAGAGCGACCAGCCACACUGGAACUGAGACACGGUCCAGACUCCUACGGGAGGCAGCAGUGAGGAAUUUUUCCGCAAUGGGGGAAACCCUGACGGAGCGACGCCGCGUGUGGGAAGAAGGCCUUCGGGUCGUAAACCGACUGUCGAGGGGGACGAUAUUGACGGUACCCCUGGAGGAAGCCCCGGCUAACUACGUGCCAGCAGCCGC
rnacentral:rRNA from 1 species